rnacentral:tRNA from 1 species
CAUAAAAUAUUUUAAUUUAAAAUCCUAUUUUUGGGAGUUAGGGGUGGGAUUUAAAAUCUCUCU